UUCCUUGUUCUAGAAGGACCUAAACUAUAAUCAAAACAAUACAGGAAAGAUUAGCAUAGUCCUUGAACAAGAAUGACGUAUAAAUUGAUGAAAUUUUCCCUAUUUUA